GAUGAACGCUGGCGGCGUGCCUAAUACAUGCAAGUCGAGCGAACGGACGGGAAGCUUGCUUCUCUGAUGUUAGCGGCGGACGGUUGAGUAACACGUGGAUAACCUACCUAUAAGACUGGGAUAACUUCGGGAAACCGGAGCUAAUACCGGAUAAUAUUUUGAACCGCAUGGUUCAAAAGUGAAAGACGGUCUUGCUGUCACUUAUAGAUGGAUCCGCGCUGCAUUAGCUAGUUGGUAAGGUAACGGCUUACCAAGGCAACGAUGCAUAGCCGUCCUGAGAGGGUGAUCGGCCAUACUGGAAAGGAGACACGGACCAGACUCCUACGGGAGGCAGCAGUAGGGAAUCUUACGCAAUAGGCGAAAGCCUGACGGAGCAACGCCGCGUGGGUGAUUAAGGUCUUCGGAUCGUAAAACGCUGUUAUUAGGGAAGAACAUAUGUGUAAGUAACUGUGCACAUCUUGACGGUACCUAAUCAAAAAGCCACGGCUAACUACGUG
rnacentral:rRNA from 1 species